rnacentral:rRNA from 1 species
GACGAACGCUGGCGGCGUGCCUAAUACAUGCAAGUCGAACGCAGUUGCGAACGGGUGAGUAACGCGUAGGUAACUGCCUCAUAGCGUGGGAUAACUAUUUGAAACGCUAGCUAAUACCGCAUACUUGGAGAUAGACCUGCUUUGUGUUAGCUAGUUGGGGAGGUAAAGGCUCACCAAGGCGACGAGACAUAGCCGGCCUGAGAGGGUGGUCGGUCACCCUGGGACUGGAACACGGCCCAGACUCCUACGGUGGGCAGCAAUAGGGGAUCUUCGGCAAUGGACGGAAGUCUGACCGAGCAAAGGCGGUGGAGUGGAGAAGGGUUUCGGAGCGUAAAACUAUGUUGAUAGAGAAGCGGUAACUAACGAGAAAGGGACGGCUAACUACGUGCCAGCAGCCGCGGUAAUAC